ACGAGAUGCAAUCCGGCAGAUGACCAAUAGGCUGCAAGAGGCUGAGGCCCGGGCUGAGUUUGCCGAGAGGUCAGUGCAGAAGCUGCAGAAGGAAGUGGACAGACUGGAAGACGAGCUGCUUGUGGAGCGCGAGAAGAACCACAUGCUCCAGGAAGAGGUGGAGACCACCCUGAAGGACCUGCAGUCCAUGUGACCGGGCUCUCCGGCGCCCCACUCUGCCUGCCACUGCUUUCUUCCCCCCUCUGUCCAGACGAGCUUGUCCAGGAGAAGGAGAAGUACAAGGCCAUCUCGGACGAGCUGGAUCAGACCUUCUCCGAACUCACUGGCUACUAAGCUCCACGCAAAGGGACUGGCGCCGCCGUUGUUUCUACCGCUGCUCUGCCAACGUUAUCACUCUCACUUCGUCGUCGUCGUUGGGGGGUUAGGCUAGGACAGCAGGGGGACAAAGAAAAAUGCCUUUUGCCCAACCAGAGAUUGGGAGACGGGGAGAGAGGGGCCUGUUGUAACCCGCCGCCUUGUCCACCCGAAUUGGCCCGAGACACCGUUGCAUUCGCCGACGGCCCUUGUCUCAUUGCAUUGUUGGACUGCAAGGUUUGGGAAGGAGCCACUGUUUUUCUUCUUUUGUCCCCUGUACUCUUGUUACGUCACGAAUAGACAGUGCCUCUCCCCUCUCGCCUUUCGUUUCAUUGACUGUUGUUCGAGACACCAACCACACAUACAGACACAGAAGAACUAGCGCUCUUCUUAUAUUUUUUUUUUCUUCAGCUCUAUGCAUUUCUUCCCCCCCACCUUUUUUUUUUUCUUUAAUUUUGGCAAGGUUGUAAGUAUUUUACAUCUUGUUUUCCUGCAGAUGAAAGGAUGUGUACUGAGUGCUCCCAUGCUUGUUUUUUUGUUUUUUUUUUUUUUAAUUGGGAUGGGAAAGCAGAGAGUGUUAAGUUUUUUGUGCCUAGGAAUUCGAGGAAAGUGUUUUUUUGACACGCUGUACUCUAGACAUGACUGGAUGCCUUCGCAGCAUUGCCUGCAUUUUGGGCACGCCAGCCAUUUCUAGAGCAAACGAGGUUGAUUGAUAAAAACCAAAACUGCCAAGCAAUUUGUAUGCCAAUAUAUCUGGUAAUAAAAGAAAACCAUAUUUAAAGGUG